rnacentral:rRNA from 1 species
UUUUUUUGGUUUUUAUUUUAAAUAUGACCUGCUCAAUGAGGUUUAACUUAAAUAGCCGCGAUAUUUUAAUCGUGCAAAGGUAGCAUAAUAAUUUGUUUUUUAAUUGAAAGCUAGAAUGAAUGGUUGGAUGAAAUAUCUUCUUUCUUUACUUUAAAUUAUAUAAUUUAAAGUUUUAGUGAAAAUGCUAAGGUUAAUUAAAGGGACGAUAAGACCCUAUAGAGUUUAAUAUUAGUCUUUUUUAUCAACUUAUAGUUUUUAGAAGUUGAUUUGGUUGUUUAUAUUAAGUUGGGGUGACUUCURAAUAGUUUAAACUUUASUGUAUYAUAUUUGUUAAUUAGCAAUUUAAUGAUCCUAAAUUUUGGAGAUUAARAMUAAAUUACCUUAGGGAUAACAGCGUUAUUUAACUGGAAAGUUCUCAUAGAUAGUUAAGUUUGCGA